UAGUAGGCUAUUUUUUUCGAUAUAGACUUUUGACGACAGAUAAAUCCAAACUGUAUCAUAAUUGAGUGUAAUGUUUUUUCAUCCAUGUACCGAGAAUUUGUUAUGCAAGGCGAAGGCAAAACCAAAAAUAACCAAGGAGGCUGUUCUUUAUUAGGAGGCAUUAACAAUCCUGUACAAUGUAAUAACAUUUUAGCUCGGAGUUCUGGAGGUGCAAAAUUCAGCACAAGUGAACAACUUAUCCCAGUAAAAAGUCCUUCUUCAGGAGUUCUUUCAAGAAAGUCCUGUUGUUUAAUCAAGGGAUGAACAGAAUGCAAAUCAAUCCUUGAAACUCGGAAAAGUCCACAAGUUGAACAUUUGUUGUCAACAGAAACACUGCCAAUUUCCAACAAAUCUUUCGGCUCCUUAAGACGUGCGCAAUACGAAAAACAGGGAGUUGUCCGAAUCCAUUUUAUCAAUAUUUUACUUGAAUCCCCUC